CCUACGGGAGGCAGCAGUGAGGAAUAUUUGUCAAUGGACGAGAGUCUGAACCAGCCAAGUAGCGUGAAGGAUGACUGCCCUAUGGGUUGUAAACUUCUUUUAUAUGGGAAUAAAAUGUUCCAAGUGUGGGAUUUUGUAUGUACCAUACGAAUAAGGAUCGGCUAACUCCGUGCCAGCAGCCGCGGUAAUACGGAGGAUCCGAGCGUUAUCCGGAUUUAUUGGGUUUAAAGGGAGCGUAGGUGGAUUGUUAAGUCAGUUGUGAAAGUUUGCGGCUCAACCGUAAGAUUGCAGUUGAAACUGGCAGACUUGAGUAAAGUAGGGGUAGGCGGAAUUCGUGGUGUAGCGGUGAAAUGCUUAGAUAUCACGAAGAACACCGAUUGCGAAGGCAGUUCACUGGACUGCAACUGACACUGAGGCUCGAAAGUGUGGGUAUCAAACAGGAUUAGAUACCCUGGUAGUC
rnacentral:rRNA from 1 species